GUUUUGGAGCCGGUGGUGGUGGUGUGUUGGAGUUGGAGCUAAGGGUGAUGAAUUGUUUCAUAAGAAGCAUGGGAUUCAUAUAUCUGGGAAUAGUGUGUCGUUGCCACCUCAGAGGUUUUAGAUAACUUCAUAAAAGCUAAUUGCUUAAACGUGGUAA